rnacentral:rRNA from 1 species
GACGAGCGCUGGCGGCGUGCUUAACACAUGCAAGUCGAACGGAAAGGCCCUGCUUUUGUGGGGUGCUCGAGUGGCGAACGGGUGAGUAACACGUGAGUAACCUGCCCUUGACUUUGGGAUAACUUCAGGAAACUGGGGCUAAUACCGGAUAGGAGCUCCUGCUGCAUGGUGGGGGUUGGAAAGUUUCGGCGGUUGGGGAUGGACUCGCGGCUUAUCAGCUUGUUGGUGGGGUAGUGGCUUACCAAGGCUUUGACGGGUAGCCGGCCUGAGAGGGUGACCGGCCACAUUGGGACUGAGAUACGGCCCAGACUCCUACGAGAGGCAGCAGUGGGGAAUAUUGCACAAUGGGCGGAAGCCUGAUGCAGCAACGCCGCGUGCGGGAUGACGGCCUUCGGGUUGUAAACCGCUUUCGCCUGUGACGAAGCGUGAGUGACGGUAAUGGGUAAAGAAGCACCGGCUAACUACGUG